rfam:Picea glauca, whole genome shotgun sequence.
ACAUGCCUACAAAAUAGUGUUAAUUCACAGGAUCCCAUUAGAACUCCGCAGUUAAGCGCGCUCAGGCUAGAGUAGUACUGGGAUGGGUGAUCUCCCAAGAAUUCCUAGUGUUUUAAAUGCC